ensembl:lncRNA
UGUUCUCCCUGGAAAAAGAUGAGGUCAUGACACGGGCAUGUCUCUCUCCUGCUGCAGGAUUGCUUCUCCAUGGCCAAUGUCUCAUGGUAUGGAGGUGCAAGCCUCCGUGCCCAACACUGGCCCUUCAACAGUGCUGAGAGCCCAGAGCAGCCCUUUGUCAGUGGAGAUUUCAGCAAAAACCCCACUGGGUAUGGCCCUGUGCUGGAGAGAUACUUCUUAGGGUCAACAGGUAUUUUCUGCUUCCCCAUUUGAUUUCCUAUGGGUUUAAUCACUGCAUCUCUCCAUCCAUCCCAGUUCAACUGAGAACUAUUUCCCCCUCUUUUAACCCCAAAGGAGUAACAGUGACAGUGGCACCUGACGUGCCCCUGGUCCUCUCUCUGGAGAGCCAUUGGCAUUUCUGCCUGGGAGGAGCUGGAGGCCCCCUGCACUAUGUCCUCUGCUUCAGCCCCGAUAUCACAACUGCACACCGGCAUGUGGGCACCCAGCUGGCAGGGCCAGCACGAGCACUGCCUGAUACAACACUGCUGUGGUAAGCCAUUCCUUCUGCCUCCAUUACUGGGUUGCUUUCCAAGCCUAAAUUAGCACAAAUCUCCAUUUUGCUGAUUUUUCCUCAUCCACUGAAUUAUAUGUGCCUCUCUUGCGGUGCCCUUUGCUAGCCCAAGGUGCAGACCCCAUGUGUUCUUCAUCCCACAGGUCUCCUAUCUGGCAGUAUGAUGGUCCAGAGGGUUCUGCUGCCAAAAUUAAGCGGGGUCUGAGGUCGCUGGCCAAGAGACUGAAGCGGCAUCGCAUGCAGGAGGGGGUUCUGGCCCUGAGGGAGCAUGGCACAGCCACACUUGCCACCACGGACCAUGUGCCUGCAGAGAGGAGGAAGAGGCAUGGUGCAUCCCAUGCCUGGGACCCGGCAAUGAUCUUCCCACUGCAGCUCUCCAUCACUCUGUCCCCCUACAUCAGCAUUGCUGCCCCGCUCUUCCUGCACUUGCUGAGGGAUGGUGAGACCGGCUACUGGCUGAGCCUGCAGCCCCGCUAUGGGGGCUGCUCGGUAUGGUACCCAGCACCUCUAUCUUGUCUUAUUUUAAAUGACCCACCAGUUUGCUAUUCAACCUUGCAGGGUGAAAUUUUUCACUUCUGUGCACUGCAUCGACGCAAGUAGUGGUGUCACCCCCUCUCCAAGCCUUGCACCCCACAUUUUUUGGUGAUGUUUUAAGGGUCUGACUGAUAUUUCUCACCAUUUGCUGCAGGUCCCAUUGCUGACAACAUGGAAGGGACAGCUUUGUGCACGCCUGAACAUCACCAAUGAGGCAGCACUGAGCUGGUACUUGUCCCAUGCCCGUGGCCUGAGGCACAAGUUGGGUGCCAAGUACGUGAUCUUUGAGGGUGCUGAGGGCAAUGCCUUCCUGGAGCAAGCAAUGUCUCCUCCUGCUGAGCUGGCUGGUGACCAAUAUGCUGAGAUGCUGGCAGCAGCACUAGUGACACUGGGGAAUGCCACUGUCAUCAGCGUCGGUGCCAGGUGGGUUGUGAUGAGAAGAUGCUUGGGGAAGCAUCAAGGUGAUUUUCCCAUCUCUUUGCUUCUUCUGU